CAUGGAGGGUGAGAAUCCCGUCCGGCCAACUUUUUGACGCUUUACGAUACACUUUCAAAGAGUCGAGUUGUUUGGGAUUGCAGCUCAAAAUGGGAGGUAAAUUUCUCCUAAGGCUAAAUACCGGCGAGAGACCGAUAGCGAACAAGUACCGUGAGGGAAAGAUGAAAAGAAUUUUGAAAAGAAAGUCAAACAGUACGUGAAAUUGUUGAAAGGGAAACGAUUGAAGCCAGUCGUACCGACGGGAAUUCAACUUCUCGAGUGCUAAUCGUGGGUGACGUUGAACCUCACGGCCUUCGUUGCUUGUGUUGUUGGUGCUUUUGGGGUGUACUUUUCCGUAUUGGUAGGUCAGCAUCGAUUUCGAUCGUCAUAAAAUGAUCGGGGGAAUGUAGCUUCGGUCUCGUAUCGGAGUGUUAUAGACCUUGGUAGAUGUGACGAUUGGGAUCGAGGAUUGCAACGAAUACCUUCUGGGCUAUCCGUCUGACCUCUGAAAGUCGCUCGGGUGUCGAAAGCGUGCUUAUGGCUAUUCGAGUUGGCGGUCAAUAGGUUAGAACGUGAUUACAUUCGUUAAGGAUGUUGACGUAAUGG
rnacentral:rRNA from 1 species